rnacentral:sRNA from 1 species
UCUUGAUUAUGUUGCUCAGCUGAUU